GCACUUAGAAAAAAUAUUUAAUUGUGAGUAUAUGAAAGUGUUAGUUUUCUUGUUGAGGAAGAUGAGUAUUGUAUAUUAUGACACAAGAAAACCUAGGAGCAAUCUCAUUGGUUGAGGCAAAAAGGUGGCAACAACUUUUCACCAACUUUUGUAGUUUGUACUAUGUGUCAGUUGGACUGUUAACUGUGACAGCGACAGAUGAACCCAACCUGUUCCCUAUAAGUUGAAACCUUUGUCAUCACAAAAAAAAAAACUUCAGGAAACAGAUCACAAACUAUGAAUUUGUCAAUUAUCAAAAAUAAAAAUAUAACAACUUUUUUUAAAACGAAUUAGUAAAAUGUAGAAGAUCUAAAAUCAGCCAAGGAUGAUUACGGCCGAGGAAAUUUGGAGGAAUCAUUCCCGACAUAGCCUGAGCAGCAGUGCAUGGGGGUGACCAAGGCUGCUCCAUAACUAGGUAGCUCGAUGGAUCUCUUCCCAAAGACUAGUAGUCCCACGACUGAGGUUCCCUUAUAACAACCCUAGAAGAUACUAGCUAAUACUAACCUCGCACCUUGCAACAACCUGCUCCUAAUCAGCCUCAAGUCCAGUGUCAGUCUAGGCAAGUGCUACUACUAGUUUGCUUUUCCAGUGCCAAGCGGAGUCAUUUCACAUUGAGAUGUGGUUCAACCUUUCAGCCUAUAUAAGCAUCCUUUUGGAAGCAUAAGAGGAUCAUUAGUAAAUCAUUUAAGUCAUUGAAAUUGACUCUUUACCUUCUUUUCUUAGAAUUUCUUUUGGAAAGGCACUAAAUCUUGGCGAUCGCGUAUAUUUUUCAUUUUCUCUCUUCGAUGAAUUUCUUUGUAUUUCUCCACAAUCUUGCAGGUGGUUUAGCUGAAAGAAAAUAAAUACGAUCGAUCAUAAUCCACUUGCCUUUUAACUCAUGUCCACAAAUUUUACUGUUAACGAAAAUGACGACUUAUCUGGCAAACAUAGGUAAGGGCUUAAAUAAUAUUUACUUCUUUAGUUAUUUAUGAAUGUAUCAUGUAAAAUUACCUAGCUCCAUUGAUUUAACAAAGGCUCCGAUCCCCUAGCUUGACCAAAUUCAAUAAAAUACUUUUGCACCCCAAGAAUAAAUGGACAAAUUUUAAUGGUGAUUGAUUUAUGAAGUGCAAAAGUAGCUCUCUG
rnacentral:lncRNA from 1 species